GGAUGGAGGCGGGGCCUGCUGUCUACACUAGCUCAGACACCGGGGAGUUUCCUAACAGAGGCCACCGCUUUCUUUCUUCCACUCCACGCAUUGUUGAACGGCUUUUCCUUUUCACACGACCGACGUAACCACCAGUCUCAAAUGACCUCUGUGUAGGAAUCUUAAGCAGGAACCUGAAUUGGCUGCCAAGAAUGCUGAGUCACACCCCCGAUGAGGAGGAUUUUCAGCAGGAAGAAAUUUGCUCCUUCGCGUGCCUUCCUGUAACAGAAAACGUGACCGUUGCAGUAGGAGAGCCCCAACCACUACAGUUUCCUAUUCCAAUGAAAAUAAAACUCGAACUCCUGCCGUGGCCUCCAACAGGUGAGUUCGUUCCCUGCCCACCUCUCAGCCUCAUCUGAUUCCUUUCUCUGCUCUGUCCUCCCUCCUCCACCCUGGCUCUUUUCGGUCUCCAGCGCACUCUGUCUGAGGCACCCCAGCUCCAUCCCGGAGCUCUUCGGCCGGGAACCCUCAUUUUCCAGGCCUGCUCCCUUUGCCUCGACCAGUAGAAUUUCGGAGCGCUUGGCCCUACUUGUUUCCGCGUGAAGGCACCAGGAUCUAAAAGCCUGGGUGUGCGUGUGUGCGUGUCCUUGUGGUGUCUUUGUUGUUCUUCACUUCUUUUCUGUCUCCUCUACCCUAAGGUCCUCGCGGACAGGGAGGUCAUCCUUCUUUACUACUUUAUGCCUAGCACCUACGAUGGUAGUAGGCAUGUCAUAGGAGAAGGUGCUUAGUAAAUAGCUGUUUAAAUAAAUGAGUCGGUUUCCAGUGUCACAGUACUUUUUUUGAUCUUCACA